rnacentral:tRNA from 1 species
UCCCUGGUUGUCUAGUGGCUAAGAUGCUGAGCUCCCAAUGCAGGGGCCCGGGUUCAAUUCCUGGUCAGGGAA